GGCCCCAUCGUCUAGUGGUCUAGGACGCUGGGUUUUCAUCCCAGAAAUCUUGGGUCCGAAUCCCAAUGGGGUCA
rnacentral:tRNA from 2 species